rnacentral:lncRNA from 10 species
CCUGGGUUUACAGUUUGAGAAUCUUUGUUCAGGGCAAGGAUCGGGGUGGAGAGCGCUGAAGCUCAUGAUGUGAGGCAAAUCCUCUCCGACUGCAAUUCCUCCCUAACUACAUUCCCCUGGACGCUUUCCUUUACCUGGCACACCACUGAAAAAAAGAAGAGGAACCCAUGUUUCAAACCAACGGAUUGUUUAGCAGCCACAUCUGUACAAGCUCAAAAAAAAAAGAAAAGAAAAAGCCUGGGUGCUUUCUCCUUUGGCACCAGCGAGACAUCCAAACCAUGGAAACCUCUGCCCAUAUGGAAUGCUCACCCUGGUCCCACGGUGAAUCAUAAUAGAGACCCAAGCCAGUCACCUUUCCUGGCCCUCACAAACCAUUUCUGACCUGCUUGAGAGGUCUGCCCGGUUCUCCCAGAGACCUCAAUUAUAGUUGAAGACCAUGUAUAUACAAGAAGCGAGAGUAGAGACCUGCUACUAAGGCCAGUGGGAAAGCGAAAGCACUUGGUGAUCUCUUUACGCAUACCUGCUCCCCUUCCACUUUCCACCAUGACUGGAAGCACCAUGAGGCCCUCACCAGAUGGAGCUGCUCAAUCUUAAACUUUUCAGCCACCAGAAUUAUAAGCCAAAUAAACUUCUUUUCUUUAUAAAUUACCCAGCCUCAGGCAUUCUGUUAUGGCAACACAAGAUGGACAAAGACAAUGCUAGAACUACUAGAAAGUGAGUUUUCUCUUUUGCCCUGGACUGACCAGACACCACCACUUGGAGCCUGAAACUAAAGCUGAUGGAGUAGAAGGCAGAGCUGAUAGAGAGAAACAGAUUUGCGAUAAUAGCAUUUCUACCUUGUCUUUUCUACUGUAAGCAUAUUUUUACCUGUAAGUCCAGUCUUAUAGCAGUCUUACUUGUGGACUCUAACAUCACGUUAUAGAUUCAUGUUUUGGCUUAAACCAGGUUGAAUUGGGUUUGUCACUUACAAUUGGAGGAGUCUGGUUUAUUAUUGCAUCUACCCCAACCAAACUGGGAGGGACAGUGGAGGCACAAAAUGAACUGUGAACUUCCAAUCUGCAUACUUGUGUUUGACUCUCUUCUCCAUCAUUUUUUGGCUACAUGACCUGGGGCCAAUCUCUUAAUCACUCAGCAUGUCAGUUCCCAUUUCUAUAAAACAUGAAAGUAAAAUUCAUUUCCCUAAUGCUGAAGGUGGUAUAAGGACCAAAUGAUUACAGAAAAGCACUUUGAGAACAGCAAAGAACAGAUGUCAGGAUUCUCAUCUACAACCUAGACCAAUAAGAAUUGGAAGAUAUUCAUAAUGUCUCUCAAAGCAUUUCUUAAUUGAGAUGCUGGAGUAUUGCAGGUUACCUCAAGUGCUGAAUCUGGCCCUACGGGUUCCAGAAAAAUAGGAAAACAAUGAUGAUGCUUAUCUUAUUGAGAUAAACUAGCAUUUCCUGUUUCCAUUAUUCAAUUACAGGAAGCAUAACAUUUAUUUGCAAAUGCAAUUAGAAAGCUUAAAAUCUAAGCCUCAAAAUUGUGCUCUAUGAAAAUGAAUGUCAAUCUUUAUGUAGAGGAAGAAAGAACUAAGAAAAAAUUUUCCUACUCAUUGAUGAGUAAUUAUGUUCCAGAUCAUUUUGAGAAAUGACACCUGUGUGGUUUGAAACAACACAAAAAUAACACACAACCUGCACUGAAAUCAAAGUGUGGCAAGUCAACUUAAAUAUUUUUCAAAU